rnacentral:rRNA from 1 species
AUUGAACGCUGGUGGCACGCCUUACACAUGCAAGUCGAGCGGCAGCGCGGGGGCAACCCUGGUGGCGAGUGGCGAACGGGUGAGUAAUGUAUCGGAACGUGCCCAGUCGUGGGGGAUAACAUAGUGAAAAUUACGCUAAUACCGCAUACGAUCUACGGGUGAAAGCGGGGGAUCGCAAGACCUCGCGCGAUUGGAGCGGCCGAUAUCAGAUUAGGUAGUUGGUGGGGUAAAGGCUCACCAAGCCAACGAUCUGUAGCUGGUCUGAGAGGACGACCAGCCACACUGGAACUGAGACACGGUCCAGACUCCUACGGGAGGCAGCAGUGGGGAAUUUUGGACAAUGGGCGAAAGCCUGAUCCAGCCAUUCCGCGUGCAGGAUGAAGGCCUUCGGGUUGUAAACUGCUUUUGUACGGAGCGAAAAGGCUCUCUCUAAUACAGGGGGCUCAUGACGGUACCGUAAGAAUAAGCACCGGCUAACUACGUGCCAGCAGCCGCAGUAAAAC